AAAGGUUUUGCAGACGUGGUUCAAUUUCAGUGAAGCUCCAAUGGAACCCAGGCAGGUUUUGAAACCUCCUAUCAGAGACUGGGAUGUGGGCAGUCGUGCCCAGUGGCUGGAGCUGGAGUCAUGCCUAAUGUAAAAGACCAUCCUUCCACUCUGGAAACGACUCUCUGCUAGCUCCCACCUGACUAGUUUUUCAUGCUACUUCUUUACAAGACACAAUGCAAGAACAAGGGUCACUCUUCACCGGUGAGCCAGAUUUGGGUCCAUCAAAGUUCAUGUAAAAACUCUCCCAUUGCCAUGAGUGAGCUGUGGAUCAAGCGCCAAGGGCCGAGCAGCAUCUCUGAAAAUCAGCAGGAGCCUCUCUUUACCACCCACAUCUGAUAACUUUGACUCUCUGUCUCAUUUUCACCAGCUAUGGAAUGAAGUCAAUAAAACUUGGCUCCUGCCUACUGA